rnacentral:rRNA from 1 species
ACGAAGGGGGCUAGCGUUGUUCGGAAUUACUGGGCGUAAAGCGCGCGCAGGCGGCCAUUCAAGUCAGGGGUGAAAGCCCAGAGCUCAACUCUGGAACUGCCCUUGAAACUGUAUGGCUUGAGUAUGAGAGAGGUGAGUGGAAUUCCCAGUGUAGAGGUGAAAUUCGUAGAUAUUGGGAAGAACACCGGUGGCGAAGGCGGCUCACUGGCUCAUUACUGACGCUCAGGCGCGACAGCGUGGGGAUCAAACAGGA